rnacentral:rRNA from 1 species
ACAACUGAAACCGCAUGGUUUCAGUUUGAAAGAUGGUUUCGGCUAUCACUUCUGGAUGGACCCGCGGCGUAUUAGCUAGUUGGUGGAGUAAUGGUUCACCAAGGCAAUGAUACGUAGCCGACCUGAGAGGGUAAUCGGCCACAUUGGGACUGAGACACGGCCCAAACUCCUACGGGAGGCAGCAGUAGGGAAUCUUCCACAAUGGACGAAAGUCUGAUGGAGCAACGCCGCGUGAGUGAAGAAGGGUUUCGGCUCGUAAAACUCUGUUGUUGAAGAAGAACACAUCUGAGAGUAACUGUUCAGGUGUUGACGGUAUUUAACCAGAAAGCCACGGCUAACUACGUGCCAGCAGCCGCGGUAAUACGUAGGUGGCAAGCGUUGUCCGGAUUUAUUGGGCGUAAAGCGAGCGCAGGCGGUUUCUUAAGUCUGAUGUGAAAGCCUUCGGCUUAACCGGAGAAGUGCAUCGGAAACUGGGAGACUUGAGUGCAGAAGAGGACAGUGGAACUCCAUGUGUAGCGGUGAAAUGCGUAGAUAUAUGGAAGAACACCAGUGGCGAAGGCGGCUGUCUGGUCUGUAACUGACGCUGAGGCUCGAAAGCAUGGGUAGCGAACAGGAUUAGAUACCCUGGUAGUCCAUGCCGUAAACGAUGAAUACUAGGUGUUGGAGGGUUUCCGCCCUUCAGUGCCGCAGCUAACGCAUUAAGUAUUCCGCCUGGGGAGUACGACCGCAAGGUUGAAACUCAAAGGAAUUGACGGGGGCCCGCACAAGCGGUGGAGCAUGUGGUUUAAUUCGAAGCUACGCGAAGAACCUUACCAGGUCUUGACAUACUGUGCUAACCUAAGAGAUUAGGCGUUCCCUUCGGGGACGCAGAUACAGGUGGUGCAUGGCUGUCGUCAGCUCGUGUCGUGAGAUGUUGGGUUAAGUCCCGCAACGAGCGCAACCCUUAUUGUCAGUUGCCAGCAUUUAGUUGGGCACUCUGGCGAGACUGCCG